UCUUUACGCCGUAGGUAGGACAAGCCAAGGCCGGUGCACAAGAAGCACAGGGUCAGAUUGAUAAGUCCAUACAAGAAUUGGAUGACAUCAAGGAGGAAUUAGAGAAUCUAAGGGACAUUGAUGUCGAAGAUUUAGAUAAACUCGAAAGUCGCCUCGAUCAAGUGGAGUUCGAAUUGAAUCGUGUCAACUUGACCGGUCGAAUUGAUAAGUUCCGUGAUUUGCGCAACGCACAAAAGAAAUGGAUCGACAAGUACGAGAAGGAUUUGUACGAUUUGGAGGAGCAAGUAGCAAAUAUUCGUGCGAUAGCCCAAGCACUACCCAAUGGCUGUUAUCCGCGUAGUCGAUUGGAGCCAUAAAUGGGCCAAGUAUCGGUUAACACUGCCCAACAAACCAUAGAACUAAACUCUAAAUAUGCGAAAAGAGAAAUGAAAAAAUCCAAAUACCCUAUACUAGUGUCUAAUAUGAAAAUAUUUUAGUGAAGACGUAGUUAAGUUAAGUUUUAAAAUAAAUAUUCUUAAAUCCUA